UCUGUUGCUGGUACUGCCUAUC
rnacentral:siRNA from 1 species